GGCAGUUCUCGGGUGACGCAACCCAGAACCGGGCUCCCUCCUCUCUGGUUCCAGGUGUGUCAUCCGAGAACCACA
rfam:Myotis brandtii contig185426, whole genome shotgun sequence.